GGAGGGGAUUGAGGAAUUGCUCUCCGCUUUUAGGCGGGGAGAGGAAAGUCCGGACUCCGCAGAACAGGGUGAUGGCUAACGGCCACCGUCCUGACGUUAUGUCGGGAUAGGGAAAGUGCCACAGAAAAAAUACGGCCCAUUUUAACCCUAAAGGUUAAAAGGCAAAGGUGAAAAGGCGCGGUAAAAGCGCACCGCUUUGCUCGUGAGAGCAGAGGCAGGGCAAACCCCACCCGGAGCAAGGUCCAAAAUAAAAGAUUCGUCCCGGCUGAAAGGAACGAAACGGGAUUGUUCGUCCCGUCACUAUUUUUAAGGUUGACCGCUUGACCCCGCAAGUAAUUUCGGGGCUAGAGAAAUAAUUCCUUUAUCCCAUUUUAUCGGGAUAAACAGAAUCCGGCUUACCAAUCCCUUUCUGUU
rnacentral:RNase_P_RNA from 1 species